GACGAACGCUGGCGGCGUGCUUAACACAUGCAAGUCGAACGGAAAGGCCCUGCUUUUGUGGGGUGCUCGAGUGGCGAACGGGUGGGUAACACGUGAGUAACCUGCCCUUGACUUUGGGAUAACUUCAGGAAACUGGGGCUAAUACCGGAUAGGAGCUCCUGCUGCAUGGUGGGGGUUGGAAAGUUUCGGCGGUUGGGGAUGGACUCGCGGCUUAUCAGCUUGUUGGUGGGGUAGUGGCUUACCAAGGCCUUGACGGGUAGCCGGCCUGAGAGGGUGACCGGCCACAUUGGGACUGAGAUACGGCCCAGACUCCUACGGGAGGCAGCAGUGGGGAAUAUUGCACAAUGGGCGGAAGCCUGAUGCAGCAACGCCGCGUGCGGGAUGACGGCCUUCGGGUUGUAAACCGCUUUCGCCUGUGACGAAGCGUGAGUGACGGUAAUGGGUAAAGAAGCACCGGCUAACUACGUG
rnacentral:rRNA from 1 species